UACGAAGGGUGCAAGCGUUAAUCGGAAUUACUGGGCGUAAAGCGCGCGUAGGUGGUUCAGUAAGUUGGAUGUGAAAUCCCCGGGCUCAACCUGGGAACUGCAUCCAAAACUGCUGAGCUAGAGUACGGUAGAGGGUAGUGGAAUUUCCUGUGUAGCGGUGAAAUGCGUAGAUAUAGGAAGGAACACCAGUGGCGAAGGCGACUACCUGGACUGGUACUGACACUGAGGUGCGAAAGCGUGGGGAGCAAACAGG
rnacentral:rRNA from 1 species